rnacentral:lncRNA from 1 species
AUGGCUGGUGGUAGAGCUCCUACUGAGCUGCGGGUGCUGCACCAGCCCAGCCGCUCUGUGCUUCUGGAGUCAGCAUUGCUUCCUGGCCACACAGUGAGUUUUAACCGCCGUGGCCGAACAGCUGAUGAGUCACCAGCAGGCUAUGCAGACCUCUCAGGAGAAUUUGUCGUUUUUGUCAAGGGAGUGUUCUGCAACAGUGCUGUGGUUCUGCUUGCCACGAGCCUGUGUCAGGCCCUGUGUCUCCAGCCUGAUGGAAACUGCACUGGAGCCGGAAGCCAGUCUGAAAGAUCUUACUGGAAAGUGCACAAGAUCAGCUCUGGGAUUUGCAUGUUUGAAAGUGUGAAAAAUGUACGAAUGUUUCUAAGGAUUCAGGAUGGCCGGUGUGAUGGAGCAGUAAGCAUAUGAUUUUAUUUCUUAAGGGAACCGGAGAUGCUGACUGUCAUUUUAAAAUUAGGAAGAACUUGGAAAAUGCAUCUGUAAGCCUGGAAUCAGUGAAGAGCCCUGGGUUGUUUGUUGGACUUCAACCAGAUGGACAGGCAAAGCCAGUCAUUUUCACCAAGGAUGAGAAUGUUUGCUUCUACCCACAAGUCAUUAAGUGUAUGUUUAUUCCGAAAUUAUUUGAAU